UACAGAGGGUGCAAGCGUUAAUCGGAAUUAUUGGGCGUAAAGGGCUUGUAGGCGGUUAUAUAAGUUAGAUGUGAAAACCCUGGGCUUAACCUAGGACGUGCAUAUAAUACUGUAUAGCUAGAGUAUGGUAGAGGAAAGGGGAAUUCCUGGUGUAGCAGUGAAAUGCGUAGAGAUCAGGAGGAACAUCAGUGGCGAAGGCGCCUUUCUGGAUUAAUACUGACGCUGAGGAGCGAAGGCGUGGGGAUCAAACAGG
rnacentral:rRNA from 1 species